GCCUGUGUGGCUCAGUUGGUUAAGCGUCUGACUCUUGGUUUCAGCUUGAGUUGUGAUCUCACAGUUUGUGGGUUCAAGCCCCACCUCAGGCU
rnacentral:tRNA from 1 species